rnacentral:rRNA from 1 species
GAUGAACGCUGGCGGCGUGCCUAAUACAUGCAAGUCGAGCGAACAGACGAGGAGCUUGCUCCUCUGACGUUAGCGGCGGACGGGUGAGUAACACGUGGAUAACCUACCUAUAAGACUGGGAUAACUUCGGGAAACCGGAGCUAAUACCGGAUAAUAUAUUGAACCGCAUGGUUCAAUAGUGAAAGACGGUUUUGCUGUCACUUAUAGAUGGAUCCGCGCCGCAUUAGCGAGUUGGUAAGGUAACGGCUUACCAAGGCAACGAUGCGGAGCCGACCUGAGAGGGUGAUCGGCCACACUGGAACUGAGACACGGUCCCGACUCCUACGGGAGGCAGCAGUAGGGAAUCUUCCGCAAUGGGCGAAAGCUUGACGGAGCAACGCCGCGUGAGUGAUGAAGGUCUUCGGAUCGUAAAACUCUGUUAUUAGGGAAGAACAAAUGUGUAAGUAACUAUGCACGUCUUGACGGUACCUAAUCAGAAAGCCACGGCUAACUACGUG